rnacentral:rRNA from 1 species
CCUACGGGUGGCAGCAGUGAGGAAUAUUGGUCAAUGGACGAGAGUCUGAACCAGCCAAGUAGCGUGAAGGAUGACUGCCCUAUGGGUUGUAAACUUCUUUUAUAUGGGAAUAAAACGUUCCACGUGUGGGAUUUUGUAUGUACAAUAUGAAUAAGGAUCGGCUAACUCCGUGCCAGCAGCCGCGGUAAUACGGAGGAUCCGAGCGUUAUCCGGAUUUACUGGGUGUAAAGGGAGCGUAGGUGGAUUGUUAAGUCAGUUGUGAAAGUUUGCGGCUCAACCGUAAUAUUGCAGUUGAAACUGGAAGUCUUGAGUACAGUAGAGGUGAGUGGAAUUCGUGGUGUAGCGGUGAAAUGCUUAGAUAUCACGAAGAACUCCGAUUGCGAAGGCAGUUCACUGGACUGCAACUGACACUGAGGCUCGAAAGUGUGGGUAUCAAACAGGAUUAGAUACCCUGGUAGUC